rnacentral:rRNA from 1 species
UCCAGACUCCUACGGGAGGCAGCAGUGGGGGAUAUUGCACAAUGGGGGAACCCUGAUGCAGCGACGCCGCGUGGGUGAAGAAGUAUUUCGGUAUGUAAAGCCCUAUCGGCAGGGAAGAAAUUGGACGGUACCUGACUAAGAAGCCCUGGCUAACUACGUGCCAGCAGCCGCGGUAAUACGGAGGAUGCGAGCGUUAUCCGGAUUUAUUGGGUUUAAGGGGUGCGCAGGCGGCACGGCAAGCCGGCGGUCAAAUCGCGGGGCUCAACCCCGCCCAGCCGUCGGAACUGCCGGGCUAGAGUGCAGGAGGGGCAGGCGGAAUUCCUAGUGUAGCGGUGAAAUGCGUAGAUAUUAGGAGGAACACCAGUGGCGAAGGCGGCCUGCUGGACUGCAACUGACGUUGAGGCUCGAAGGCGUGGGGAGCAAACAGGAUUAGAUACCCUAGUAU